rnacentral:rRNA from 1 species
AUUGAACGCUGGCGGCAUGCCUUACACAUGCAAGUCGAACGGCAGCAUGAUCUAGCUUGCUCGAUUGAUGGCGAGUGGCGAACGGGUGAGUAAUACAUCGGAACGUGCCCUGUAGUGGGGGAUAACUAGUCGAAAGAUUAGCUAAUACCGCAUACGACCUGAGGGUGAAAGUGGGGGACCGCAAGGCCUCAUGCUAUAGGAGCGGCCGAUGUCUGAUUAGCUAGUUGGUGGGGUAAAGGCCCACCAAGGCGACGAUCAGUAGCUGGUCUGAGAGGACGAUCAGCCACACUGGGACUGAGACACGGCCCAGACUCCUACGGGAGGCAGCAGUGGGGAAUUUUGGACAAUGAGGGCAACCCUGAUCCAGCAAUGCCGCGUGUGUGAAGAAGGCCUUCGGGUUGUAAAGCACUUUUGUCCGGAAAGAAAUCGCACUUACUAAUAUUAGGUGUGGAUGACGGUACCGGAAGAAUAAGGACCGGCUAACUACGUG